rnacentral:tRNA from 1 species
GGAGAGAUGGCCGAGUUGGCUGAAGGCGCUCGCCUGCUAAGCGAGUGUAGGGUUACAAGCUCUACCGAGGGUUCGAAUCCCUCUCUCUCCGCCA